rnacentral:rRNA from 1 species
CCUACGGGGGGCAGCAGUGGGGAAUAUUGCACAAUGGGCGCAAGCCUGAUGCAGCCAUGCCGCGUGUGUGAAGGAGGCCUUCGGGUUGUAAAGCACUUUCAGCGGGGAGGAAGGCGUUAAGGUUAAUAACCUUGGCGAUUGACGUUACCCGCAGAAGAAGCACCGGCUAACUCCGUGCCAGCAGCCGCGGUAAUACGGAGGGUGCAAGCGUUAAUCGGAAUUACUGGGCGUAAAGCGCACGCAGGCGGUCUGUCAAGUCGGAUGUGAAAUCCCCGGGCUCAACCUGGGAACUGCAUUCGAAACUGGCAGGCUAGAGUCUUGUAGAGGGGGGUAGAAUUCCAGGUGUAGCGGUGAAAUGCGUAGAGAUCUGGAGGAAUACCGGUGGCGAAGGCGGCCCCCUGGACAAAGACUGACGCUCAGGUGCGAAAGCGUGGGGAGCAAACAGGAUUAGAUACCCUUGUAGUC